rnacentral:rRNA from 1 species
GAGUUUGAUCAUGGCUCAGGAUGAACGCUGGCGGCGUGCCUAACACAUGCAAGUCGAACGAAGCAUAUAGAAGGAAGUUUUCGGAUGGAAUUUUAUAUGACUUAGUGGCGGACGGGUGAGUAACGCGUGGAUAAUCUGCCUUACACAGCGGGAUAACAAGUGGAAACAGUUGCUAAUACCGCAUAAGCACACAGUAUCGCAUGAUACAGGGUGAAAAGAUUUAUCGGUGUAAGAUGAGUCCGCGUCCCAUUAGCUAGUUGGUGAGGUAAAAGCUUACCAAGGCGACGAUGGGUAGCCGGCCUGAGAGGGUGAACGGCCACAUUGGGACUGAGACACGGCCCAGACUCCUACGGGAGGCAGCAGUGGGGGAUAUUGCACAAUGGGCGAAAGCCUGAUGCAGCGACGCCGCGUGAAGGAUGAAGUAUUUCGGUAUGUAAACUUCUAUCAGCAGGGAAGAAAA